GGUGGUGCAUGGCCGUUCUUAGUUGGUGGAGUGAUUUGUCUGGUUAAUUCCGUUAACGAACGAGACCCCCGCCUGCUAAAUAGUUCGGGCUAUGUCUAACAUAGCUUUGAGCUUCUUAGAGGGACUUUUGGUGACUAACCAAAGGAAGUUGGGGGCAAUAACAGGUCUGUGAUGCCCUUAGAUGUCCUGGGCCGCACGCGCGCUACACUGACAUACGCAGCGAGUCUUCCUUGUCCGAAAGGUCUGGGUAAUCUUGUAAAUGUAUGUCGUGAUAGGGAUAGAUUAUUGCAAUUAUUAAUCUUGAACGAGGAAUUCCUAGUAAAUGCGGGUCAUCAGCUCGCGUUGAUUACGUCCCUGCCCUUUGUACACACCGCCCGUCGCU
rnacentral:rRNA from 1 species